UUUUACCGGAAGGCUAGCCAACUAUCUAGUAAACAAUUCGGGACAAAGCUAGCCCGUUCCCCUCCACCCUCCCGGAGUCCCCAGGUCAAAAGCCUCCCGGUACCGCUUUACUGCAGGUUCUGGUCGACUGCAGGAAAACACCGGGGCAGAGUGGAGCUGAGAGAGGAGGAGGAGAAGAGAAGGAAGAUGGAGAUUUGAUUUCAUUAAGUAAGAACCAUGGAGACGGCACUAACAGUUGCUCUCUCAGUGGGAGGGGCUUAUCAUCUGGGGAGCCUCAACAACAUCAUGAUGCUGACAAGACAGAGAAGAGUCUCUCCAGAUCAGAAC